UGGCCAUGCUGCGCGUGGAGUGAGCCACCAGACCCUCUGGGAUUGGAAAACCUUGUCCAGAAUAAGCAUGAGAGAUGGUGUCCACCAGUCAGUGAGAUAGGCGCUGCUUGGACACUGGCUGGCCAGACUGUCAACCUCCAUAGCACACAAACAUCUGUGAGUUUGCCUCUGCUGCCUGGUGUGCUCAAGAUAAGACUUCAGGGGCCUCAUUACAGAAAGAAUCCUAACUGCUCAUCCUAAUUUAAGUUAGGAAACCAAAGAUAGGAAAAAUCCUAACUUCCUAUUACAGAAGCAGUGCCUAACCUAAUGUCCGUUUCCUAUCUUAUAUGUGGCUUCCUAUCUUAUCUUUAUUUAGGAAAAUCCUAAAUGUUCUAUCAAUCUGAUUUUUCGACGGCUAUCAACAGUUUAUGUCUUUUUCUGCACUUAGAAUGUGCACGAGACUGAUAGAACGCUUAACUGUAACGACAAAUGAGCUUAAAAGUUAACGUUAAAGCCUAACGAAAGCCUAAACGAAACAGCAAGCUACGGUCAUGGCAGGUCCAGCUGAUAAGAAGAGGAGGGCUUUUAAUUUCAGCCAAGACGAGUUGGAGGCAUUAGUUCAGGCGGUGGAAGACAGGAAACAUUUAUUGUUCGGGAAAUUUUCAAUGACCGUAACGUCGCAGUCUAAAGAUAGACACUGGAAAGAGGUGGCGGACUCUGUCUCAGCAGUUUGUGGGAUGCUGAGGACGGUGGAGAGUACAAAGAAAAAGUGGUCCUCUCUAGCAAGUGAUGCUAAGAUCAGGGGGGUCUUACAAAGGAGGGACCAAGCAAAGACAGGGGCUGGUUUGCCCGAAGUGAAGCCCCUAACCUCACUGGAGGAGAAGAUCCUGGCCGUCAUGGGUCAAGUUUACACCGAAGGUUGGCUCUCGCUGUUUUCAUGCCAGCUUCAUCCCCAGCUCUGGACUGGAUGAGCUGUGUGAGCAGAGAAGUGGCGAGGUGUGUCAGUCGACAUCGUCUGACCCUGAAUCGAGAAGGGUCAUAUUAACGCUGAUGGAUUCAGAGUGUGACACUAUGAAUCUGCCACAAGCAAUUGUCAUCCCAUCACCUGCUAAAAAGAAGAAGCACAUAGGCCUACAAGAGGAGCUUCUGGAGUUGGAGAAGGAGAAGCUGCUGGUAAUGAGAGAAAAAGUAAAUAUUGAUAAGGAGAGACUGCAAUUGGAAAAAGAAAAAUUCGAAUUUAUGAAGGAGUAUUUAAAAAAAUCGAGGGAACAACAUUGUCGAUCUCU